AUUAAUACAAGAUGGCAUCAUGAGUCCGCAUAUUCACAUGAUUAAAGGUAUUCCGGUAGACGAUGGGGAUGCGUUCCAUUAGAUAGUAGGCGGGGUAACGGCCCACCUAGUCUUCGAUGGAUAGGGGUUCUGAGAGGAAGGUCCCCCACAUUGGAACUGAGACACGGUCCAAACUCCUACGGGAGGCAGCAGUGAGGAAUAUUGGUCAAUGGGCGAGAGCCUGAACCAGCCAAGUAGCGUGAAGGAUGACUGCCCUAUGGGUUGUAAACUUCUUUUAUAAAGGAAUAAAGUCGGGUAUGCAUACCCGUUUGCAUGUACUUUAUGAAUAAGGAUCGGCUAACUCCGUGCCAGCAGCCGCGGUAAUACGGAGGAUCCGAGCGUUAUCCGGAUUUAUUGGGUUUAAAGGGAGCGUAGAUGGAUGUUUAAGUCAGUUGUGAAAGUUUGCGGCUCAACCGUAAAAUUGCAGUUGAUACUGGAUAUCUUGAGUGCAGUUGAGGCAGGCGGAAUUCGUGGUGUAGCGGUGAAAUGCUUAGAUAUCACGAAGAACUCCGAUUGCGAAGGCAGCCUGCUAAGCUGCAACUGACAUUGAGGCUCGAAAGUGUGGGUAUCAAACAGGAUUAGAUACCCUGGUAGUCCACACGGUAAACGAUGAAUACUCGCUGUUUGCGAUAUACUGCAAGCGGCCAAGCGAAAGCGUUAAGUAUUCCACCUGGGGAGUACGCCGGCAACGGUGAAACUCAAAGGAAUUGACGGGGGCCCGCACAAGCGGAGGAACAUGUGGUUUAAUUCGAUGAUACGCGAGGAACCUUACCCGGGCUUAAAUUGCAAAUGAAUUACGGUGAAAGUCGUAAGCCGCAAGGCAUCUGUGAAGGUGCUGCAUGGUUGUCGUCGGCUCGUGCCGUGAGGUGUCGGCUUAAGUGCCAUAACGAGCGCAACCCUUGUUGUCAGUUACUAACAGGUUCCGCUGAGGACUCUGACAAGACUGCCAUCGUAAGAUGUGAGGAAGGUGGGGAUGACGUCAAAUCAGCACGGCCCUUACGUCCGGGGCUACACACGUGUUA
rnacentral:rRNA from 1 species